rnacentral:lncRNA from 1 species
GUCCCGAAAUCGAAAUGACACAUGCAUGUAAAACAAUUCGAACAAGAAAACCAACGGCCUGAUUUAUGUAGAAAUCAAAAACAAUAAACGAGAAACAAAUAGGAUAAACAAAAGACAACGACUGAAAAAAGAAAAACUAUAAAAUCAGCUGAAAAGGGCUUUGACAUGCCGUUUUUCUCCAAUAUCGACUUGCUACAUAUAGUUUUCUUUGUUCGUGCUGUGUAGACACUAUAGGGAAAAUAACACGUGUAACUGGUUUUAUCUGCUUCAUUUUGGUACUGGUGGAUAGUAAGGCAGUUACAUGUACCAUGUCAUAGUUGCAGCACGAACGUGAACCCUAGAAAUCUUUUGCAUUCGUUAGUUUAAAGGAAUCCAAAGAGUAUGAAUUGGUAUAUAAAAAGAUUGUACUUCUGAACUCGUCUUUGGACAUACCGCUAUCUCAAUGUAUUCAUAUAAUUAUCUGCAUUAAACUUUAAAUAUAGUUGCAGCCACCUGUCUUUACUAAAGAUGUUUGUAGUGGUUUAAGUUUGCAAUUCUACAUGAUCAAGUUAUAAGAUUUCAAACUAGGGAUAAUUGGAAAUAUGUUAUACUACUAAAUAAUCUGAAUUGAACGGUCACAGUUCUGAGAAACUGUUUAACAAAGUAUAUGUAAUGGCGCAAGUCAACUGAAGCCGGUACGUGCCAUUGGGGAAUUGUUUUUCCUUUAAAUUUUAACUCGUUAUAGCAAGUUACCUAAUUCGUUAUAACGACUUACAUGUAGCUAACUCGUCAUAGCGACGUAGUAACUCGUUUGAACGACUUAGCCUAACCUGUUUUAAUGAUUUAGUAAUUACCUUAUCGAACUAAAUUUGAGUAAAAAUAACGUGGAUUUCAGCAACUAUAUAUCAACGUAUACGGUCUUCAAGAAUGAGC